GAUAAAAUUUAGCAGUAAAACCAGUUGCUGAAUAGUUUUAGUACACAUAUAAGAUUUCAGAUAAGCUCAUUAAAAGUUAGAAACUGUAAUACUGGUUCCUUAAAUGGCGAUUUAGUAAUAAGUGUCCACUGUAGUCCAAUAGGGAAUUAUUAACGUUCCCUAAGAUUUUUAUUACUGUAAUUAAUACUCUCUAGAAUAGGGGUAGGUAACUCUCAGCACUCCAGAUGUUGUGGACUACAUCUCCCAUAAUGUUCUUGCAGCCAUAAUGCUAGCAAAUCAGUGGAGAUGUAGACCACAAAAUCUGGAGUGCCGAUAAUUACAUGAUUUUGCUAUUACAUGACGAAAAGUCAUGAUUUUAUUAAAGACACGGAGGCUCAUAUUGCAUAUCCCUUUCUUUACUGUCCACCAAUAGCAGCAAAGAAUACAAACAGAAUGAAAAAAAAAUAAAGAACAUGCAGUAACAUAGGCCCCUCCCCGCUCAGGUCCCAGUAUAACAGGCAGCACUUCCCUUCCAUUUCCCUCUUUCUGAAGAUGCGACCAAGGUAAAAUGUCCAGAACGAGAGUAGUGUGAGAACAAAUUCCCAAGGCAAUAACUUAAAACUGAAGAGGGUAGAACAUCAAUAACUGGGAAGCUUGACCAUAGGAGUCAUAGGACCAUCGGAUAACCGCGGGAGGAGUCCUUCUAAGCCGAACAACUCCUUGCCGUCUUGCCGGAUUAAGCUGUGAAAACAUAAAGGAACAGGAGCCGACAGGUUAAAGUCGAUACUUGUAACUAGUUUCAAGGUUACACGGGUGAGAAAAUAACCCACAUAUGCACAGUCCCACAAAACAACUGAUAUACCCAGCAUUACAGAAACAUCAUUGUCUAAGUAUGGCCCCACUUACCGUACUGAACCAUACUAUGCGGUGUAUUGUAGUAUGAGUAAUUCUGGGAGGGAAAAUUAUUAUUAUUACAACUGUGUAAGAACGAAAAAGGGUGGGACAAUACUCGCCUCCGUGUCUUUAAUAAAAUCAUAACUUUUCGUCAUGUAAUAGCAAAAUCAUUUAAUUUUAAAACAAGACACGGAGGCUAAUAUUGCAAGUUUAAAGCUGAUCCAUUACCGCAGCGAAUGUAUGUGGGGCCAGCCGAAAGUAAAAUUCUCGGAAUGUAGACUCCCUAGACCAGUUAGCCGUCCUCAUAAUGUCCUCCAGGCGUGCGGCUGCCGACAUCAUAGAAGAGGCUGAUGCCCCCCGGACCGAAUGGGCGCCAAAUAUCGUGGUAUCAAUACCUGCUUGGGACAACAGCCAUUUCACCCAUCGUGACAAGGUAGUGCUAGAAACCGGGUGAAAAGGAGGACGGAAAGAUAAAAACAACUGAGGAGAGACGGUAGAGUGAUGUGGGUUGGUGCGAGUCUCGUAUUCGCGAAGGCAGGCCACUGGGCAUAGUGAAGGAGAGGUAGGGAAACUAGGGUAGGAUACCGAUUUGAUGGAAGUCUUAGUCCGACCUGCUGAUGUUGAAAGUUACCCCGUCCGGGGUAUAUGACUUGGCAUCGAAGUCCAGUGCUCUGACAUCCGAAACCCUCUUGCAUGAGACGAGGCAGAGCAGGCAAACCAAUUUGGCAGAUAGCUGUUUGAGGGAGAGUCCUGAGUUAGCGGGCCAGGAUGAGAGGAAAGCCAAUACGACUGAGACGUCCCAGGUCGUGGAGUAGCGGGGCCUGGGUGGUCGUGAAAAUCGAGAACCCUUGAGGAGUAGGCACACUAAGGGGUGCUGUCCCGUGGGGCAGCCAUCGAAGCCUUGGUGAAUCGCCGAGAUAGCAGAUCGGUAAAGGUUGAUAGUCCUGUAAGCCUUUCCAGCCUCGAAGAGGGACGUCAGGAACUGCAGGACCAUUGUUACAGAGGCCGAAACGGGAUCCGCGUUCCUAGCCAUGCACCAGCCAGCCCAAGCUCGCCAAGCUGACCCAUAUGCCCGUCUAGUGCUGGGAGCCAUGCUGCUGCCAAUAGGCGUCUAGUCGUAUCCGAAACUCCUUGGAUUUCCCAGGGUCCCCGGAGAUCCACCAUGCCAGGAGUGGGAGAGAGCCUUCUAACCGGAGGGGGUGAUAUCGUCCCGUCGGGUCCUGCAGCAAGUUGUGGUGUCCCGGUAGUAGUCGGGGAUAGUCUAACGUCAUCUUGAGCAUUUGGGGGAACCACGACUGCGUUUCCCAAAAUGGGGUGACCAUGACCACUUCUGCCGGGGGGUUGGCGGGUCUGUAGGAGUGAGCGCGGGAUCAUGGAAAAUGGGGGAAAGGCAUAUAGGAGGCCUCCGUUCCAGUCCUGUAGGAAGGCGUCCACUGCCUCCGCCAUUGGAUCUGGCCUCCAGCUGAAGAAGCGUGGGAGUUGGGCGUUGAGCUGGGAAGCGAAAAGGUCUAUGGUAAACGGUCCCCAGAGAUACGAUAUAUUGGAGAACACCUCCUUGGCCAAUCUCCAGUCACUGGUGUCUGAGAGAUAACGUGAACCCCAGUCCGCCUGGACAUUGUGCAGACCAGGUAGGUAUUCCGCGUAGACCAUCAGGUUCCGUUCCAGGCAAAAUUCCCAAAAGUCUUUCGCCAAUCUGGCCAGGACUGCCGACUGUGUACCACCCAGGUGGUUGACAUAUCUCACCGCCGAAACAUUGUCCAUGCGGAGCCGAAUACAUGAUAGGGCUCGGUCCCUGGCGAAGCUGCGAAUGGCGAAGGAGCCUGCCAGGAGUUCCAGGGCAUUGAUGUGCAGUCGGGAUUCGGAUUCCGACCAACGGCCCCCUGUUGAGACUCCCUCGCAGUGGGCUCCCCAGCUGUGGAGACUCGCAUCUGAGUCGAUCGUGAAUUCUGGCAUUGAGCCGAAGAUGGCUUUGCCAUUCCAUGCGGACAUGAGAAUCCACCAUCACAACUCGUCUUUCGUCUCGCUGUCCAAUGAUACCAGAUCUGCGUAGGAUGCCCCGGAUCUUAGGUGGGCGAUCUUUAGGCGCUGUAGCGCUCGGUAGUGGAGCGGACCUGGGAACACGGCCUGUAUCGAGGAGGCCAGCAGGCCUAUGAGUCGUGCAAGUUGGUGUAAGGUGAGCUGGGGCCGGAUGAGGGCCCUGCGUAACUCUUUGCGGAUGGAUCGAAUUUUGGAUAUCGGGGGGCUCAGCGUUGCUUCCCCCGAAUCCACCAGGAAUCCUAAGAAUUCCAUGCGAGUGGCGGGGGUCAGGCAUGACUUCUCCCAGUUGAUUAUGAAACCUAAGCGUGAAAGGAGGUUUAUGGCCAGCCGUAGAUGUGUGAGGAGGGUGGAACGCUCCUGAGCCAUGAGGAGAAUAUCGUCUAGGUAGACGAUUAGUCGAACUCAUCGACUGCGUAGCCAGGCCAUCACAGGCCGUAAUAGCUUUGUGAAGCACCACGGUGCUGAGGAGAGGCCAAAGGGUAGGCAGGUGAACCGCCAUGUUUCGUGCUGCCAGUAAAAGCGUAGGAGGUCUCGAGAUGCUGCCGCUAUCGGCACUGUCAGGUACGCGUCUUUUAGGUCUAGCUUCGCUAGCCAGUCUCCGUGGAGGAGGAGAUCUCUUAGUAGGUGAAUACCUUCCAUCUUGAAAUGGCGGUACCUGACUAUGGCAUUGAGGGGGCGCAAAUUUAUGAUGGGUCUCAAUUGGCCGCCCUUCUUUUCCACCAGGAAGAUAUUGCUUAUGACACCUGCAGGGUUGAGGGGUGCUUGUUCUAUAGCCCCUUUGAUAAGGAGGGUUGAGAGUUCCUCGUCGAUCCGUCUGCGAUCCUGGAGGGAAAAGCAGAUCGGUCGCAGAGGGGGAAUGUGUAUGAGAUGAUUGGUGAGUUCUAUACUGAAACCCCGAAUAGUGGUCAGUACCCAGGGGUCUGAAGUGAUUUGUGACCAGGCUGGGAAAAAAUGUUGGAGUCUGCCCCCUACGUAACCUGGAGAAGAAAUGUGUGGUAUGAGGUAACUCACCGUAUGGUCUUCUUGAGCUUGGGUUACCCCGAAAGCCUCUGGAUCGCCAUGGACGUCCGCGGGAUGGAAAAAAUGUGGGGCGGGAGGUGGAAUCCUGGUACUGGUUACGGUGCUGGAAGGAGCCUCUUCCCAUGCCACGGGAUUGGGGGUAACUGCGGCCGGACAGACGGCUCCUGAAUCUGCCGGCCCUGCUAGAGACCUGCCCCUGGAAUACUCGCCUCAUGGAGGCUUGGGCCUUGUCUAGAGCCAUGAAUGCUCCAACGAAGCGCCCUAAAUCUUUUAUAAAGGAAUCUCUGAAGAGAAGUCCUUGGGUGUCUUUACCCGCUUCCGUAAGGGCGAGGUUGGCCAGUUUGGGCUCAAUUUUGAAUAAUAUGGCCUUACGCCUUUCUAUAGAUAGCGAGGUAUUUACACUCCCAGCAAUGCAUAUUGCUCUCUGGACCCAACCUCUAAGGUCUUCGGGGUCAACCAUGCGGUUCUCCGCUCUGGCGUCUUCCACCAAGUCAAAUAAUUUGGCCAAGGGGCUGAAUAUGUCCAGGUGUUUGUCCUGGCAGGAUUUUAAUGCCGACUCCAGUCUUUUACGGGGAUUCCAGCCCAUUUUAGUGAGGAACUGGGUCAUCUUGGGGUCUACCUCCGGAGUGUCACAAACUUUGUUAGGCACCACAGGCCUAGGACACUCUGCCCUCAAUUUGUUGUGGGCUGCUUUACUUAAGGGUCUUCUGACCCAAUUUUCCAGGUAUGUGGCAACGUGGUCAGCCGGGAGCCACUCUGCCGACCUCGGAUGGUGUAGAUCAUCCGGGUCGAAGAGUGGGACACCCAAAGGAUCCACAAGGGUGGACCCCGCAGCCGCGGGGUUCCUGAUCCCUAUCUCGCCUAAGGGCAUCUCUGCCUGAGCAGAGGAAAGUAGGUCAAGACCAGCAUCAGCGGCAUCCUCAUCAGAGUCAGUAUCCGACUCGCUCUUUGCCUCCUCAUUUGACCCGAUUUCUGAGUCGGUGUCGCUCUCUAUCUGUGCUCUGGCACAUUUCCAUAGCCGCGCCCGUUCUGCCUGGCGCGGAAAGGCUCUUUUGCGUGGAUGGGACACACUUUCUGGGGCGACCGAAGGUACGCCAGUCAUGGUGUUUCUGGAGGCAGAGGGGUGCUUGGACUUAUGGGUAGCCUUUUUAAACACCUCUUUAAACACCUCUCCCUGGGGUUUCACAGAGGGACGCGGUAAAGGCGUCGAGAGGCCCGAAAGUUGCUCGUCUGAAGGACGUGGCAAGAGGGCUUGUGAUGGUGUGGGAGAGGGUGGAGGACAUAGACCCCAUGGCCGCCAUAAUGGCGUCUGUCGCUGAGCGCUGCAGCGCUAGGAACUGUGCCCCAUCAGGGUGGGUAGUUCCAUCAGCCAUAGUAGGCGAGUUGUCUGAGGUGACAGGAGCCUCACUCCUAAUGAGUGGGUAUCAGACUCCCCAGAGGGAGUGGACCCAGCGGAUAGUCUGGGUUUAGGCAUGCUGAGAAAAUUAGCAGGGAAUAAUAGGUAAGAGAAAAGGUAUGGGUUAGUCACCCAAACAGCUAGACAAAGCUAAAAACGCUCUCACCAGGGCCAAGACCAGUGACACAAAAUGAAAAUGAAAUAAAUAUAAAUAAAAUUAAUAAAUAAAUACAUAAAUACAAUAAAUACAAAUAAAUGUAAGGUAAAUAUGGUAGGAAAAACUAUAGAAUGCUACCAGGUUUAAGUGGUAAGCAGACUGACAGAAAAUAUCAAAGAGAAAAAACCAGUAUAAUAAGAAAGUAUGAAGAGAAAAAUGACAUGUACUUAUCUU